CAGACCAGGGUGCUCAGGGCUUUACCCAGCCCAGGCUUGCUGACCUUCUAGGAUGGAGACUGUGCAGGAUCUCUGCUCAUUCCUUUUAAGGACUGGCAUACACCCCAAUAUCCAGGAUAUUACCCACCAUCUGUGACAAAAGUGACAUUACCAGACUGGAGAGAGGCCAGGGGAUGGUCACUUAGGUGGCAAAGGGCCUUAAGCCUGUGUCCUGUGGGGCAGCUGAGGUUGGCUAGCCAGGAGAGGAGAGGAGAGGGCUUGGAGGAUGUUGAAUCACAACUGACCACUACUAUGAGAAGUUCUAGGGAAGGUGCACCCAGCUGCCUCUCAGAGGUACACAGUGAAACAUCAAGAGGCAGGUAACACACAUUGUCCAACAUGGAAUGCCAUUUAGUGUUUGCGACAAUUACCACACAGAAGACUUUCAUGAAGCCUGCCAAACUACACAAGACUACAGAAAUUCCUCUUAUGGUAUGUUCUCGCCUGGAAAAACAAAGAUAUGCCCAAGGGCUUGCUCUGCUGAAGAUUUUGAGGCAACUUUUGAGGCAUGGCAACAAACAGAGUUUAUUCCAGACCUUAUGAUCUGUACUUGCUACUAGGUUUAUAACUGUUUAGACUCAUGGAUUGCAAUGGGA